ACUGAGAUGUCACACAAGCCUCUGUUCUGGGCCUGACACUGAAUGUGUGCCACAGCCUGGUUUCUAAGCAAACACAGUUACAAGGGAUUCUUAAACACGAACCACUACUCUAGAAACCCGAUCAGCAGCUAACCCAAAUAAAGUAUUUAUAACUUGCAAAAUGGCCCAUGAAGGUGAUCUAGAAGAGAUUUACAGCCAAAAAGGAAUACAUUCUUUAGUGGGGGGCAACUGGAGUAAUUAAUGCCCUCUCUUAGAGAGCCAGACCUGGAGACGUGCAGAGGGGAUGUGUGAAUUUGGGACCACAAGUAGAAUCAAGAAGUAUUUAAUCAUAGGAGACAGAUCCUGAGCAAGUCCUAGAAUUAGAAGGUGUCUGGACCCUUCAAAGCAAUAUCUCGGAGGGUGAAAAUGCGCUCGGUGAAGCGUAGCUCCCUGGAGCAAGUUAGUGAAUAUUAAUGUUCAGCAGAUCAUAAGGAGCUACAAGUUCUCCAAUGUAAGAAGCCGAGGGGGAGAUAAAAGAGCAAGAAUCAGAAGCCUGCAGACCCAGACUCCACGGGAGGUUGUCAUCCAGUGGCUGUGCUUGGCUGAUGAAGUAGAUGCUGGAGUCCAGAGAGGACGGCAGAAGAAUGAAAAUUUUAAAACCACAAGAAAAGACCAAUGACUCCUUAAGAUAGACCAUAAUGGGGGAAUGAUGGCUGAGCAGUCUACCUCCUACAUCAUCCACCUUACCUGCUACCAGCAGCAACACCAUACUGGAAACACCAUCUUGAGAAGAAGACAUGGAAACUUGGAGCUAAAAACAGCUGAGUUGUUCCAACAACCUUUAAGUUUGUGAAAGUGAUCCAACGUGCAUCCAAGACUGAAUUCCCUGCUAUAGAUAGAAGCCAAAAUCCUGGGAAGCAUCCAAAAAGAAACUACUGUUUUCUCUACACCAAGUAUAAUAAGCUAAUUAUUCCUAUGAAGAGAACCAAUGCAACUGGGUUUGUUCAGGGCCCUGGCAAAAGGACUUUAACCAAGUUUGGAACCUCCUAAAAUACCACUCACUUAGAAUUUGGGACUGAGCCAUGACCUUCUAUUGUUCAAAGGCAUUUUCCUUUGUAAUAAUUCCAUGGAAAGAAAAAUGACUUAAAAGUUGU